rnacentral:rRNA from 1 species
GACCUACGGGACGCAGCAGUGGGGGAUAUUGCACAAUGGGGGAAACCCUGAUGCAGCGACGCCGCGUGAGUGAAGAAGUAUUUCGGUAUGUAAAGCUCUAUCGGCAGGGGAGAAAAAAAUGACAGUACCUGACUAAGAAGCCCCGGCUAACUACGUGCCAGCAGCCGCGGUAAUACGUAGGGGGCAAGCGUUAUCCGGAUUUACUGGGUGUAAAGGGAGCGUAGACGGCAGCACAAGUCUGGAGUGAAAUCCCGGGGCUUAACCCCGGAACUGCUUUGGAAACUGUGCGGCUGGAGUGCAGGAGG